UACGUAGGGCGCAAGCGUUGUCCGGAAUUAUUGGGCGUAAAGAGCUCGUAGGCGGCCUGUCGCGUCCGCUGUGAAAUCCCGGGGCUUAACCCCGGGCGUGCAGUGGAUACGGGCUGGCUAGAGGCAGGCAGGGGAGAACGGAAUUCCCGGUGUAGCGGUGAAAUGCGCAGAUAUCGGGAGGAACACCGGUGGCGAAGGCGGUUCUCUGGGCCUGUACUGACGCUGAGGAGCGAAAGCGUGGGGAGCGAACAGG
rnacentral:rRNA from 1 species